rnacentral:snRNA from 1 species
GGCGCGAAGCUACCGUGCGCUG